CGAGCGCAGCGAGAAAGCGUUGCCGCAGGCAACGACCCGAAGGGCGAAGCGCGCAGCGCUGAGUCAUCCUUCCCCCACCACCA
rnacentral:sRNA from 11 species